ensembl:snRNA U2 U2 spliceosomal RNA
AUUGCUUCUCAGCCUUUUAGCUAAGAGCAAACAUAGUAUCUGUUCUUACCAGUUUAAUAGCAAGGCAAUUUGGUAAAAAUUCCAUUUAUGAGCAUUU